AAGUAUGGAGCUCAAGAAAAAGCUGCUAAGCUUUUAUCUUUAAUGGUUAAAUUCCAUUUAUACUU
rnacentral:tRNA from 1 species